rnacentral:misc_RNA from 1 species
UUUCCGUAGGUGAACCUGCGGAAGGAUCAUUAUUGAAUGAAACACUUCUGGCUUUAUGCUGUUGUGCUGGCCCUUUGGGCAAUGUGCACACGGCUCUGGUCACUUGUUUCUUCUGUUCCACCUGUGCACUGCCUGUAGACACGCUGUGUCUAUGAUAUUUGUUAACACACAACAAUGUUAGUUGGCAUGUUAUAUAUAAUAAUAAAAUAUACAACUUUCAACAACGGAUCUCUUGGCUCUCGCAUCGAUGAAGAACCAGC